UAAAUGUUAUAAAGCUUCGCUAGCGCCACCUUUUGGUGAAAUGGAGUUAUACUUUAACUUAAUUCAAUUUCUAGGAAGGGAAAAAAACAUCGGAGGCUGGAUCUUUGGGACGGUUAAAGAAAGUUGCACCCCCACCAUCAGCAGUACACCAACAUUUUUUUUACAACUGGAAUCCCCCCAGAAACUUAAUGAAAGAAACAGUUGCCAUUAGUAUGAGGAAAAAUAUUUGAAUACACUACUAAAUAGUGUGUGUAUCUCUUACAUCUGGUUAAGAUCUCUGAUGUGCUGUAGACUUUGAAUUUAAAUAUUAUGAGUACUGACACGACAUGCCUGCCCAACCGUUUGACAGUCAUCAGAUUAUACAUUUUCUUAGAGCAAUACCCUUAAAAUUAGACACAGUUGUUCUUGCUUCCUUUUGAUGUACUAUGUUUCCAGCGAUAUUAAAUACAGUGCUGUAAAGCUGUUUAUCUUAAAUCUUAGAAACUUGACUUCUGACACUUAAACACCAAAAUGGUUCUUGAACAUUGCACUCAAGUAAGCCUUUCCCUCCUCCUUCGUCAUUAACAGUUUUCUUGAGGAAAUGCAGAGCGGAAUUAACAAGGGAUGAAGAAGGAGAGAUGCACCAACAUUUAUCACAGAGUCAGAGUAAUGACAAAAAAUUAAACUUAAUGGUUCCAGAAUAAACUAAGUUGUCAUCAAUAUGAAUCGGAUUAUAGAAUGCCUGGUUUCUGCAUAUUAAAAAAUCAAGGAAAAUAUUUCCAUUACUAAUGGCAUGUUCAUUUAGUAUGAUCCUCAAACCAUUAGACUCCCAGUUCUGUAUAACCACUGUUCAUUUUAUUCAUACUUUUGAAUUAAUUUCAAGAAAAUAAUAUAACUCAAGUAUGACUGCUCAAUACAAAAGCAAUUGAAAUCAAAGAAAUUAAUAUUAUUUUGUGAUAUAAUGUUGUAAUAAAUCCAUCCAUCCAAAACCACUAUUCUCAUUUUUGCAUAUGUGGUUGGGGUGUCACUUCAUCAGUGACAAUCAUCUAGAGCCAAGGUUUACACCUCUGGGUGUCUAGUCAGCCACUGUACAUCCUCCACAUUAUGCAUACACUCACGUGGCCAAUUCAGAAUGUCCAGUCUACCCACUGCACGUCUUUGGAAUGUGGGGGGAAAACAGAGCACUUGGAGGAAACCCACAUGAACACAGGUAGGACUUGCAGACUUCACAUAAAAGGCAUCUCAGCUGAGAAUCAAACUAGGGUACUUCUUGCUGUGUAGCAACAAUGCUACCCACUGUGCCACUUUGCUGCCCCAGUAUUAAUAAAAUGAAUGUACACAUUUACAGUAGUUACCUACAACUGUUAAGAAAUUGUAGUCUAUGGUCUUCAGUUUACCAGUAAGUCCUUUAUUUCUUUUGCUUGCUUUGGAACAUAAAAUAGAGUUAUUGGUUCUGUGGUAAAGGAUUCUUAAAUGUAAUUGAUCUCUGAUAUGCAGGAUAUAGGCACGACUGUAUAUAUAGAUUUGUUUAUUACAGUAGAAGGAGAAAGUGAACUAGACCAGAAAAACAACACAACAUAAAAUGUUUAAUAAAACACCCACAUGAGUGGGAUUAGGAAAAUGUGACUGAUAGUGAUAUAGUAAGAGACAGAAGGUAUUGUUAAUGUUUUGUUUAGAAUAUUCUUGGAUUGUCUUGUCUACAUUAUGAAAGUGUAAAUAUGUUGUUGAGAGCUUCUGACUGCAAACAACUGCCAGAGAAUUGGAUAUAUGUACUGUGCAUGAGUUGUACAUAAUGUUAAAUUCAUAUUUCUGCUUAUAAUAAAAACAUUAAUGAAAAAGAAAA